CUUCCCACAUGCUUUCAGAAGUGGAGCAUGCCUCAUUUCUUUCUCUUGCUUUUCAUCAUUGUCCAUAUCAGGUCAUUUUCAGUCAGGCACAGGAAGUGCAGUUUUCCACUGUAGUUUGGAUAGGUUCAGUACUCUAAAAUAAAACCAGUCACUGCAGAUAGAUUUCCAUUGCAGAAGAUUCUUCCAUAAAGAAGUGAUCUGUAGAACACUUGCUUCUUUAUCCCACCAUAUAGUCUUAUUAGUUGUGCAGGGAGGAGAGAGCGAUGGCUUUUUUCACCCAGAAGGCCAGCCCCAGCGGCUUCCCCAGCCUCCGGAAGUGGGACCACAGCCUGCCCGCAAGGUGACGCUGACCAGGGGGGGCCUCCAGCAGCCCCCACAUCUGCCAGCGGGGCCCCACGCACACUCGCCUGUCCCUCCAGGGAUCAAAAGCAUCCAAGGAAUUCACCCGGCGAAGAAGGCCAUCAUGCACGGACGAGGCAGAGGAGUGGCCGGUCCCAUGGGCCGGGGGCGCCUGAUGCCAAACAAGCAGAACCUGCGGGUGGUGGAG
rnacentral:lncRNA from 1 species